UAAAACCCCAGGAAGGGGUCCGAACGCAGCAGACCUCGCUGAAGGCAAGGGACAGUCUGGACUUCUGACAGCCACAGAACCCAGAAGGAGAAGAGAGAGGCAGAAGAAGCGGAACCGGCACAGUCGCAAGAACAACAGGUCGGCUCGCUGAAGAUGCGCCCAAAUCCCGCCAUGUGGCUCGGCACUGCGGCUCUAGCUUUCUGCGCGCUCAUGUGCUUCGGCACGCUGGCGGACGCGUACCCCUCGAAGCCGGACAACCCAGGAGAGGACGCUCCGGCCGAAGAGCUCGCCAAGUAUUACUCCGCGCUGAGACAUUACAUCAACCUCAUCACGCGACAGAGGUAUGGGAAAAGGUCCGGUGCCGACACCCUGCUGUCAGACCUGCUGCUGAGGGAGAACACGGACAACAGCCCGCGAUACAGGAUGACUUGACUGAAGGCUCAGGAUGAACGGAGCGAUGGCACUGAAACACGACAGGUGGCAGCACAGCAGUGAAAGGCAGAAGAUAUGAGGACCCACCUGUGUGGUGAUGUCAGAAUAUAUUUUUGUCCCUUCUGUACCUCAUUUUACCAACAAUGGCCACAGCACAACACACAGAGGUACUUUUACUCUGCCAGGAAGACCCCCACACCAAUGUCUCAAAAACACACGGUUGUCCCAACGCUUGACUUUAACAGCACAGACGAGACACCACUGCAAAGAUUCAAAUGGUCCUCACGUGGCCAAGACUGCAUGCAAUUACUGCUGAACCAUCUGAUGGGAAACAUAUGGUACCUUUGAACCUUAUUUAUCCCGAUGACUUGUUAAAAUAAAAAUCGCUGUGCAAAGGUAUUAUUAAAAUGCAUUCUUUAAAAAUAAACUCGUUUCUUGAUUGUCCAGGUUACAGUGUUUUUUGCACGGAGAAUUGUAAUUACUGAAGGUGUCGUUUAGGUCCAGUCAUCGUGUAAGAUGGUAAAUUCUAUUGAAAAUGUUCUGUUUGGCAUGCUGGGAAA